rnacentral:rRNA from 1 species
GAUGAACGCUGGCGGCGUGCCUAAUACAUGCAAGUCGAGCGAACAGAUCCGGAGCUUGCUCCUUUGACGUUAGCGGCGGACGGGAGAGACACACGUGUGUCCUCUACCUAUAAUACUGGGAUCUUUACGGGAAACCGGAGAUAACCCCGGAUAAGCUUCCGCACCGCAUGGUUCGAUAGUGAAAGAUGGCUUUGCUGUCACUUCUCGCUGGACCUGCGCCGUAUUAGCUAGUAGGUAAGUUAACGGCUUUCCAAGGCGACGAUACGUAACCGAAUUGCGAGGGGGAUCGGCCACACUGGAAGUUAGACACGGUCCAGACUCCUGCGAUAGGCAGCAGUAUGGAAUCUUCCGCAGAGGUCGAAAGCCUGACGGAGCAACGCCGCGUGAGAGAUGAAAGUCUUCGGAUCGUAAAACUCUGUUAUGAGGUAAGAACAUCCGUGUAAGUAACUGUGCACGUCUUGACGGUACCUAGUCAGAAAGCCACGGCUAACUACGUG